rnacentral:lncRNA from 10 species
CUUUCACUUUCACUUAGAGCAAGAUGGCAGCCCGCGUCCCUGUGUGAAGCCGUCUGCAGCAGCUGCCAGAGCCCUGCUUGCUGUUUCCUUUCUCACCACCCACCUCACCCGGAAAUCCCCUGGUGAUUUCAAGACCUGACCUCUGCACCCUUUUGCUCCCCACCUGUCCCAAAAAAGUGGAGCUAUAACUGUGGGAAAAGGGGAUCUGAAGUCAGACACAGGAUCCACAGUAGCCUGGGGACCUUUCUCACCCCCGCCCUUAAGCAGGCCCCAACAUAACCGGCUGAGAAACCUCCUCUGCCAGAUCCUGACCUGAGCCAGGAGGCGGCCAGGAAACUGGAUUUUGGGACUGGGAUUUCAGAGAGGAAGCUGGAGAGCUGCAGGGUGGUCAUCUGUCACUUUAUUUUGCCCGUCUUGUAGCAUUCUCGAAAAGGCACUCUGUCACGUGUACACAGGAAAGGGCCCUGACAAGAGGAUGGGACUGCAGUUGUGGCUGCCAGAGUCUUGCUUUGUCGCCCAGGUUGGAGUGCAGUGGCACGAUCUCGGCUCAGUGCAACCUCCGCCUCCUGAGUUCAAGUGAUUCUCCUGCCUCAGCCUCCCUAGUAGCUGGGAUUACAGGACAAGGAGAGGGACAAAUUCCUUCUUGGCAUCCUUAUGGCCCUGUGACCUGCUAAUGAAUGCUGACUCUGAGUUGCUACUAGAAUUUGGUUUCCUUGUGGCUUCCCAGGAAUUGUGAGCCAUGUUGGAUAAGGACCUGCAAGGGAAGAAUGAGGAAGCCUGGGACAGUGCAGGAGGGGAGAGCACUGGUGGUAGAGAGGAGUGAUGACAAGGGUCUCCGCCAAAAGGGAAAUGGAGGGGUUAAAGAAGCUGCUGGGGAGGGUUAAAAACAAUGUGUUCUCACUCGUAGGUGGGAAUUGAACAAUGAGAACACUUGGACACAGGAAGGGGAACAUCACACACUGGGGCCUGUCGUGGGGUGUGGGGAGGGAGGAGGGAUAGCAUUAGGAGAUAUACCUAAUGUAAAUGAUGAGUUAAUGGGUGCAGCACACCAACAUGGCACAUGUAUACCUAUGUAACAAACCUGCACAUUGUGUACAUGUACCCUAGAACUUAAAGUAUAAUUAAAAAACAAAACAAAACAAAACAAAAACAAUGAGGUGCUAUUGUUUUAGUGGUGAGUAUCCGGAGACCUGGGGGUCUCACUCUGCUCACUCUGUCUCCCAAGCUGGAGUGCAGUGGUACAGUCACGGCUCACUGCAGCCUCCACUUCCUGGACUCAAGUGAUCUUCUCACUUCAGCCUUCUGAGUAGCUGGGACUACAGCCCCCUCUGCAGCUCUUCAUGGGGGUCCACUCAAGUCAGAAGCCACAUUUGGGUGUGAUUCAGAGAGCUGUUUAUGCAAAACCAGCUUUGUCACCAUCAGGCAAGGCACCUGAAUUCCCACCGCAGAGAGUGUUGUGGCCGUGAGGACUUUUCUGUCACCAGCCAUUUCCAGGUAGACCCAGUGUAAUCACAAGCAUCCUUGUAAGUGGCAAAGAGGCAGAGGAGACAGCGCCAGAGAGGCAGCUGCAUGAGAAGGAUCAAGAUGUUGCUGACUUUGAAGUUGGAAGAAGAAGGCCAUGAGCCUCAGUAUGUGGGCGGCUUCUAGAAGCUGGAAGGGGCAAGGAGAUGGAUUUGACCCUUCAGCCUCCAGGGGCAGCUGUACCUGCCAUCACUGAUUGUAGCCUGGUGAGGCCUGUUUUAGACUUCUGACCUGUAGAGCUGUAACAUAAUACAUUUGGGUUGUUUUCAACCACUAAGUUUGUGGUAAUUUGUUGUAGCAGCUGUAGAAAAUGAAUACAUAUGAAUCCUCUGGCAUUUGUUUGAGAUUUGCUCUAUGGCCUAGUAUGUGGUUGUAAAUGUUCCAUCUGUGCCUGAAAAAAUGUAUAUUUCUAAUUCAGUAGUCUCUGCUUUUUUUUUUUAUUUUGUACCCCAUCAAUAAAAUGAUUUUCAGCAUGUAUCCCCAAAUAAACAAUAUUUUAUUUAUUGAUUGAUUGAUAAACAGACAUGUUUAAUGAUAGCUUGCUUUUCACAGAGGUGACUUCGGAGACUUCUAAUCUAUAAUCCAGGAGUAUAUAACCAUG